rnacentral:tRNA from 1 species
GCCUUCGUGGUGUAACGGUAGCACACUCGGCGCAUAUUUGAGAGAUCCAGGUUCGAGUCCCGGCGAGUGCA